UUGGUGGAUAAUGCACAAUUUAGAAUAAAAUGGAGAGAAACGUAAGCAUGUAAUAACACGUAGUUGCUGCUCGUGAAUUCUUAACUGUGAAAAUCAAUCCCACCACCUUUCUUACACAGAAUGUGUGAGGGUGCAGCCAACUGCAGAGCCUAGGGCUUGAAGACAGAAAAGGCUAGUCUGCAGUGUCUGCAUGUCCGGAAAACGUCAUGGCCAUCACUUUCGAUCAGAAGAGCACUGUUCCUGCUCAGCUCCCUGGCAAACCCAUUCUGGUCAUUCACUCAUCAUUACACACAGUUAUCAAGUAUCUACUAAGUGCUGGCACGAUUCCAAAUGCUGAGACAAAGCAGAGAACAAAGGGCAGGAUCCUGCAUAACAACAGUUUACAUUCUAGUGGACAGAGACAAGCAGAAGUAGCCAACCCAAGGAGUAAACAACAGUACAGCAUGGUGCACGACAGGAAACUGAGGAUUUUGGGUCCCCUGCCUCUAACAGCAUGAAGCCUGCAUGUUGGUCCCCCUGGAGAUGACUGAGCUCCAGAGUUCCACUGCCUGGGCUCAACUCCUGGCUUCAUCACUUUCUAUGGUGACCCUGAGCAACCAGUAAGCCCCACGGUCAAACUGAACUACCUCCUCACAAUCAAGGAACACUGAGGAUGUGACAACACAGGAGUAGAAACAUGGCAGACCUUCCCAGCCCCACACUGAGGCGGCCAACAGUUCCUGAGCAUCUCCCUCCAACUCCCUCUGCAGUCAGCUUUCAGAUACACUAGAACUAAUAAAGCCGGACACAGGCUUGGUGUUCACAACAACUCUCAUCCCACUCCCUCCAUCUGUGUGUACCAGCAAUUGCAAAUCCAAACAUCCCUCCACCCAGACCCCCACAGCCCCAGAAGACUGGAG